rnacentral:rRNA from 1 species
CCUACGGGUGGCUGCAGUCGAGAAUCAUUCACAAUGGGGGAAACCCUGAUGGUGCGACGCCGCGUGGGGGAAUGAAGGUCUUCGGAUUGUAAACCCCUGUCAUGUGGGAGCAAAUUAAAAAGAUAGUACCACAAGAGGAAGAGACGGCUAACUCUGUGCCAGCAGCCGCGGUAAUACAGAGGUCUAAAGCGUUGUUCGGAAUCACUGGGCGUAAGGCGUGCGUAGGCUGUUUCGUAAGUCGUGUGUGAAAGGCGCGGGCUCAACCCGCGGACGGCACAUGAUACUGCGAGACUAGAGUAAUGGAGGGGGAACCGGAAUUCUCGGUGUAGCAGUGAAAUGCGUAGAUAUCGAGAGGAACACUCGUGGCGAAGGCGGGUUCCUGGACAUUAACUGACGCUGAGGCACGAAGGCCAGGGGAGCGAAAGGGAUUAGAUACCCGAGUAGUC